rnacentral:tRNA from 1 species
GCGGCCGAGGGCGUCGGCGUUGCGAGCGAUGCGAAGAACAUCGAUGGUGCGGCCGUCCGCGCCGUGGACGUUCCGAACGUCCCGGACAUCCC